rnacentral:rRNA from 1 species
UACAGAGGUCCCAAGCGUUGUUCGGAUUCAUUGGGCGUAAAGGGCGCGUAGGCGGCUUCUUAAGCGUGUGGUGAAAGCUCAGGGCUCAACUCUGAGUCGGCCAUGCGAACUGGGAGGCUUGAGCACUGUAGAGGCGAGGUGGAAUUCCGGGUGUAGCGGUGGAAUGCGUAGAGAUCCGGAAGAACACCGGUGGCGAAGGCGGCCUGCUGGGCAGUAGCUGACGCUGAGGCGCGACAGCGUGGGGGAGCAAACAGG